AUAAUCAAAAAGCCCAGUCAGAUCGCGUUUCUUAAGUAACCGGGUCUGGAUCUUCCUCAGUUCAAUUCCAUCGUUAUCGAAAUUGUUAGCUGUGAAGCAGCAAUAGACGUGGGGGUGUUUCUGUCGAUUUUUGUCUAAGAAAAGCGACCGGAAAAAGAAAUUGAGGCAAUGGUGCUUGGCGUGUUGAAAGGGGAGCCGCUGAUCACGAAGCUGGCGGCGUUGGCGAAGUACGGCGUGCUUCCGGGGGCGAUGAUCGCCGCCCUCAUCUACUCGCCGCCGGAUUACAGUUUGCCCAAAAAAUCAGCUGAUUCAGGAUCCUCGACUUCUUCUUAAUAGACGAAAAAGAUCUUUCUUUCUGGCUGGGUAAAACGUGCAUCUUCAGGUUGAGCUCGUGUUUUGUGGAUGAAAAUGGUAUGUAAUAAUUACAAUGCCGCAUUGCGCCUGUGAAACAGUUGUGUAACAUUGAAGCAUCUUACCAGUUUCUUGAAGAAAUUGCGGUUUUUUUUUAUUAUUUGUUCCGCACUUCGGUAUAUUUUGAUAAAUGCGCAUGAUUUCUUAUUGAGCUAUGAUUCCCCCCUGA